rnacentral:tRNA from 1 species
UCCUUGGUGGCUCAGAGGUUAAAGCGUCUGCCUCCAAUGCAGGAGGCCCAGGUUCGAUCCCUGGGUCGGGAA